rnacentral:lncRNA from 1 species
AAAAAUUAAAAAUAGGAAAAAGUAAAAAUAAAAGACUACAAAACAAAACUGAAUAUACUAUUCAGAUAUCCCAGUCUUCAACAGAUUGAAGCAUGAAAAAUAAUUGAUUCAAAAAAUGGUAAAAUUUGAGAGAAAAAAGAAAAAGAACUCAAUGAAAAAUUGAACAGUUGUUUCUGUUGGAGUUCAAAAGUUUCUCAACUUCCCUUCUCAAUAGUUAGGUGUAGGUAUCUGGAAUAUGAAGCUUGCUCCACCUUCAGGGUGGGUGAGGUUGCUAGGGUAAGGAUCCUGGAGGUGGGGUGUAGGCUUAGUUAUGCUCCAGGCUCUGAAUGCCAGUUGGUCUGGAGAUUUUAAGUCAGGACACCUCUAGGGUCCAGCAAUUGCUGGUCCACCCUGGAAGACUGCAUACCAGGAAUCUUCUUUAGGUUCUAUUUGUGUGGUAUAGGAGCCUGUUCUUAGGCCACCGCGUUGCCUAUGGACCCCACGCUUCCUGGUCUCUGAUUCAGACGCCAAACUCAAUCUCUCCUGCCCCCACUCUUGAAUUCCCCAUCAGAGGCUUCUCUCCCAGCCAGUCCUGCAAGCAGCUGGACUGAAAGGGGAAGGAGAAGCCAGGUGGGUUUCCAUGACCAGUAUUCCCCUGUAAACCUCUCUCCACACUUGAUUUUCUCCUGGUCACUUAGGCAUACUCUCUGUUACACACCGUGGGUUUACCCAGCUUGUUUUUCAAACCAGACUCCUGUCUGCUAGAAAUUGGCUCCCCCAGCUGUCAGCCCCAGGCUUCCGCUGCAAAGUGGUUCCUUCUAUCUUCUGCAGCUUCUUUUGCAUACAAGGAUAUUAUGCAGCACAGCUUACUGUUUUUAUUUGGGCAAUGAUUCUGCUCUCUGAACUCUAUCCUGACUCUCCUCAUUCCUACCGAGAAUUGGGGGUUCCUCUAAUUCCCUUACUGCUUUCCUGUGUUCACGGAGGGACCAUUCUGGCUUGUGCCUCCAGCUGCUGCCACAGCUGUAGGGCUGAGGAGUUUUACUGUAUUAUAUUCAAUCUCUUCUGGGUUUCUGAUAUGUUUUGAGUGUCCAAUAUUAAAUUCCAAUAAAUUCCCCCCUAAUUCUUCUUCAUUCACCCACAUUGCUGAAAGCUGCCUGCCUGCUUUUUUGGUUUCACUUGAUGGAGCUGCCAGGGAAGUAAUCUAUUCUGCCAUCUUCUGAAAAGCCCCUCUUGAGUAGAAUUCUGAUAGGCCAAGGCUACAUACAAGCUUGUAUGACCAAAACUCCACCAUCAACUGGGUGUCCUAAAUAAACCAUAGACUCUUCUUAUAUAUAGCUGAUAAAUCAUCAUAGGCUUUCAUUAUUAAAUUCAUUGUAGAUUAAGUUUAUAAAAGUUAAAGCUUUAUGUGUACAUGGAAAAUUUGUGUGCAAGUCAUCAUCACAUUUAUGAAAUCAUUCAGGGGAACUUGAAACUUAAUAACAAGUUGAACUUUACAAAUAAUUCCUAACUGAAUUGACUAAAAUACAACUAUCAUAUAUAAUGCAAAUUAUCAUAAACAGAUUAGAUCAAACUUAAAAGAAAUGAAGUAGCAAUGUAAAAAAAUCUUAGUUGCAAGUAUGUUUUUUAUUAAUGACCCACAAGAGUCCCAUUACUAAAAUUGGAGGUGGGACUAUUUUUGUGGUUAUCUAAUAUUUGCAGUUAUGUGCUUGGUUUUGAACACUUUUAGAUAGUAAUUUUGGUGCUUUGAAAUAAUUACCAGAGAAUGUCAGUGCUAGCCGUGGAGUGCAUCAGGACAACACAGGCUUUCGAACCAUGACAACUCACUUUGAAAACAUUCCAAACAUUGAAAUAAUCACCGAUAUUCAGGCAUGGAACUCAGAAUAGAGCACAGCAUAGAUGACAGAAAGUGUAAGAAUGACUAAAAUACUGAAAGAUGGCUGUAUCAUGCAGUAAAAUCUCUUUGCAGUCAUGUGUGAGGAAGAUGAGGGUCUAUGGGAUCAUAAUCCUAAAAUUACAAAGAAUAUGCCAAUUAGGAUUCUGUUGGAAAUGAUCAGCUCUAAUACAGGGAAUAAGAAUUUACUUGAAGGGCCUGGGAAAUUCAUGAGAUCAAAGGGAAGCUAAAGAAAGUGACUUAGGAUACAAAAUCAAAAAACUCCAGAAGUAGUUUUUUUUUUUUUUUUUAGCAGAAAUUGCUAUUCAAUAGGCUUGCAUUUAUUUCUUCAUUGGAUUAAAUUAACUCUUUAAAUUCCCGAUUCAAGAGAAUGAAACCUCCAGGACUCAUCCAUGGAUAAGUUUGUAAUGGGUCCAUAUCAUGCUUUGAGUAUGAACCUUGCUGCUUGAUCACACAUGGCUUAUUCUUAAACUGACAUGUAUUUCUUCCUCCUCUCCCAACAAUGGGAUUGAGGAAAUAUUAAUGUUCUUCCCAUCCUAGGCCAGCAAGUAAAAUACAGGCUGGGAACUGGUGCUAGCAAGUGAACAACAGCUCUCUCAAGGUCACUAGACGGACAGUAAUUAUAUCUACUGAUAAUUAUACCCAGAGCCUAGUCCUUGAAUUUCCCUUUAAAGGUCCUUUGUUUUUCCUUGUGAGGAGAGAUGACAGUCUUUGGACCUUAGUCCACUGCCUUCUUUCUUUGCUAGAAGUUUUAAUAAAAUUUAUUUUUUCUCAAAAACCUUUUCCUCAUUAUUUGAAUUGGCACCAGGCACAAAAACCAAGCCUUCUGUAUCAAAAUGGUUUGACUCUUUAAGACAAAAUGUAACAGGAAAGAUAUAAAGUAUUCAAAGGAAAUUAUAUGUUAGGGCAAAGGGAGCUAGAUAAACAAAAAAUGGCGAAUGGCGAGGUGAUGAAGCCACUGGUAUUUGCUAAAUAAAGGCAAUGUUAGAACAAGUAAGCAUGCUAGAAGUGUGAACAACAUGUAUAUGGUUUGUGUGGACAGGCUUGUAGGGACUGCUCCAUUGGAUUCCUUCAGUUUGCUUUUACUUGGUAAUAGAGAGCUGCUUAACUCACCCAAUUCUCCCUAGGUGGAUAACGUUUUUAAAACUUAUUUUCAUAUGGGGGAUUGAACCCAAGGGUACUUGACCACUGAGCCACAUCCCCAGCCGUUUUUAUUAUUUUGAGACAAGGUCUCGCUGAGUUUCGUAUGGCCUCACUAAAUUUCCCAAGCUGCCCGAGUGCUGGAAUUACGGGUAUGUGCCAC